UACAGAGGUCUCAAGCGUUGUCCGGAAUUAUUGGGCGUAAAGAGCUCGUAGGCGGCUUGUCACGUCGGGUGUGAAAGCCCGGGGCUUAACCCCGGGUCUGCAUUCGAUACGGGCAGGCUAGAGUGUGGUAGGGGAGAUCGGAAUUCCUGGUGUAGCGGUGAAAUGCGCAGAUAUCAGGAGGAACACCGGUGGCGAAGGCGGAUCUCUGGGCCAUUACUGACGCUGAGGAGCGAAAGCGUGGGGAGCGAACAGG
rnacentral:rRNA from 1 species